UUAAAUGACACAUUUCAACGUAUCCCAACUGUGUAAAUUGAAGCUCGAGAUGAUGAUCACUGGAUUGUCUGGUCAAGACUGAUUAUUUAGAGAAGCAGCCAUGUAGAUGGAAUAUUGCUGAGUGUGGCGUU